ACACUCUAGCUUCUAGGGUGACUCGAACCCCCGACCUAUUGGUUGGAGGGGAAGCGUCUUACCAACAGACUGCGCUUCAUCGUCGUUCAAGAAAGAAACACUAAAUAAAAGAAGAAUGGAGAACCAUUUUCAGUCAUUCGAUCAUCAAGAUCUACGGUGGAUGCAUCAUCUUGUUGGAUGAAUAUAGAUCCUGGGUUCGAAUCCUGAAGGGAACAAUUAUUUUUAUUUUUUUGAGUGCAUUAAUUUUAACAGCGAAUGCAUUAAUUUUUACAGUGGAUGCAUUAGAUUUAAUGGUUCUCACAUUCUCACAAAUAAUGUAGUUCUCUCUAGAACCACACGUUAUAUAUAUAUAUAUAUAUAUAUAGGGGGCGCGCUCCAGUGAGACCCCUAUAUUUUCGUGUAACAUGAGUACAAUGAAUAAGACAUAUAAUACUAAUGAACAAAACGUAUAUCUAAUGAACAAGAUGUAUAUACUUAUAGAAAAAUAAAUUAAAAAUUCGUAAUGAAUAAGACAUGUAUACUAAUGAACAGGGCCGUAUAUACUGAUGAACAAUGCAGUAUAUACUGAUGAAUAACAAAAUUUAAAAUAUUAUGCUCCCCUAUCAAAAUGCAUGUUUAUCACAUAUCAGCCAUAAGAUUCAUAAAAUAAACACACCAGAUCGUGCCCUAAAUCUCACUAAAAUUAGGAGGUUUCAUUAGAGCGGCCCCCUAUAUAUAUAUAUAUGCAUAUCAAAUUAAAGAUCACAAUAAGAGCUUUAAUUUGAUUAUAUUUUAUGUAAAUAUUUGAUUUGAAAUAUAAAAGUUAUAUUUAUUUAAAGAUAGAAUUUUUAAAAAUUUGUUUCUUCUCUCUCUCUUUUUUUAGUACCGUAACUUUGGUCAUUUUACAAAUGUAGGACAAAAAUUUUUGGGCUUGCAAUUAUAGGACAAAUUGAUUUUUCGGGCUCAAUUUGUCCUACUUAUGCUCAAUUUUUGAAAAUUUGUCCUACAAUUGUAAGGCCAAAAAAAUUUGUCGGACAUUUGCAAAAAAGUCAAAGUUAUGGGCCUAAAAAAACUUUGGGCUCCAUUUUGUUUUCAAGUUUUCGGCGUGCUGUCAACUUUCUUAAUUAACCCAGCCAGCAUAUUCAAAAUGAACUUCUUCACAUUAACCAUAUUAAAAUUUUCCAGUUAUAUAUGCCGUCAAAUUUACAAUUUUUAGGUAUAAAAUUAAUAUAAAUACGCAUGAGAGACGUUUAUGAUAAUGAAAUGCAUUACAAUUUACAACUUCAAACUCCCAAACUAAAACGUGAAAGUGAUAUAAAUUUGAAAUCUAAAAUCAAAAUUUUACUUUAAUCAUCUCUAAUCAUCUUGAUGAACUCAAAUUCUCACUUUGUGAUCAUAAUUCAUAAUCAGGUAUCAUUUGUGGAACUACUUGAGGAGUUGAGGAUAUAAUAAUGAGUCAGCAUGGCGCGUGUGAUACUUAAUUAAGGUGACCUAAUGGUAAAUGCUGUCAAAGCACAAACGUACACAUGAGUGUUGAGUUUGAGUAGUAACUAAGAAGAAUUUACAUUUGCAUAAAAAGAAAGUUAAAAGUACGUAAUAACUACUCAUUUACUCAUUAAUAUUACAAUAAUAUAUUAAAAUUAGUUAAUAUUAUUAAAAUACUAUUUGGUACACGAUUUAUACAAACAUAUAAAAUAAUGUAUUUUUAUACAUAUAAAAAUUUGUUUGUGUAAUCGUGUAGCAAUUCAAAAUGAAUGAUGGCAACAACAACGACGACACUUGUCUGUAUAUAACAACAACGCACGAGGAACGAGGGAUUUGCGGCGGCAAUGGUGGAGGAGAGAUUCGCGAGGGGGCACGAGGAAGGAGGAGUAACGACAAGAUAGACUUGGCGAGAGAGAGAGAUGGUGGUUGGGCAUGCGUGGGGAUGGGUAGAGUUAGUUUUAAAAUUUGAUUUAUUGUCCUAUGAAUACACCAAUUAUUAGUUACAAUAGUUUUACCAUGUUUUACAAUUCGGUAAAAUGAAAUUUGAUUUGGCAAUUUAGGAACAUUAAUUGAGUGAAGUGGAAUCUAUAUAGAAGUUAAAUAGAGAAGUUGCAGAUAAUUAUUCACACAUAAAUACACGAUGUAAUUGGUUCAUAAAGUAUUUUUUGUUUAUAAACUUCAUAUUCUGAACUUGUAAUUUUUUAUUGUUAUAAUGCUCAUCUCAGUUUCUUAAAGAGUUAAACCUGUAAGAUUUUGUUAGUUCUCUGAAGAAAAGUUGGAUGUUGAAAUACCAUUUGUUUUGUCAUUUUUAAUUAGGAUUAAAUUUUAUAUGCACACAAUUUUAUUUAAAAGAUUAUUUUCAUAAUUAGUCAUCACUUCAAAUUUUUUGAUGAUCUCUACUCUUAUAUCACAAACGCAUCACUAUAAUUCACUAAAGAAAACGGAUCAACAUAGUCCUAUGUGUUUCCAUUAAAUUAAAAGUGAAAAAUAAAAAAACAGAAGAGAAAGAAACACAGUUUAUUUGUUGAGUGAGGUUGAGGCAUGUGCUCCCUACUAACGGUAAUUGUCCACAGCCGCAUGUGCCACUCGACACGGCCUACGCCAAGAGGCGUACGCGCGCAGUCAGCAUAGUAGAGCUCAACCUCUAGCUAAUUAAAGCGUAGCGAUUCGUCCACGUGUCGCUUCACCAGUAACUCCCACAUGACCGACUGCUUCUUAACAUGUGCCGCCGCGCAGCACGACAACAUUGUUUAUGCCCUCGAUUAAUUAAUCUAUUCGCACUUCCGGUUUAAUUACGUUGUAAUUGUAGGCGUAUUACUAUUUUCUUAAUUAUUGGAUUACGACGGGCUUUGCUAAUUAUGUAGCUUCCCUCUCUUUGCUAAUAAAGCGAACUUUGAGAUAAUGUAUUUUAAAGGAAUUUGGAGCAACAGUUUGUUUACCUGAAAAGUUUCUUUAAUGGAGUAUGUUUUUCCAAAAAGUUUCUUUAUCAGUAUAAUUUACGACUUCUUCAACCUCCACCCCAAAUGGAAAAGAAAAAAUAAGACUUUUAUUUUCUUUAAUACUCCCUCCGUCCCCAAAAUAAGUUCCUCUUUGGGGACGACACAAGUUUUAAGGAAAAAUAGUAAAGUGUAUUGAUAGUGGAGAAAAAUAUGUUAUAAUUAGUAUUGGGAGUGGUGAAAAAGUGUUAUAAUUACUAUUGAGAGUGGUGAAAAAGUGAAAAGUAAGAAUAAAUAAAGUAUUAUUAGUGGUGGGGUAGUUGUCCAAAAAUGGAAAGAAAGAAAGAGAAACUCAUUUAGGCGACGUCCCAAAAAAAAAUGAACUUAUUUCAGGGACGGAGGGAGUAUAAAUUUUGUGAUUUUUUCUAUCUAAUUGAUUACUCCCUCCGUCCUCAUAAAAAGUAUUCAAUUUGUCAUUUUCGUCCGUCUUUAUAAAAUAUAUUCAGUCUAUUUUUGGUAAGCUUUUCACUCACAAUAUAGUGGGGCCCUUACUCCACUCACAACACAUUCAACUAUUUUAUUAAAAUCUGUGCCAUUUAGAAAUGAAUACUUUUUAUAAGGACGAAUAGAGUAUUUCGUAAUUAAACUAUACUUUAAGCCUUUUAUUUUUUUAUUUGGACUCCUAAGCUGUGCCAAAAAAAAAAAACAUUUCAAGUUAAAGCCACGUAAACAAUUAUGGCUCAAAGUUCAUCAUUACUAAAAAAAAUGUUCAUCAUGUACAAAAUAAAAAAAAAAUUGAAAAUUUAAUGGAUUGGUUCGAUUAACAUCCCUAACAACCUGCUCUUUCUUCCCCCAUCCCACGGUCCCACCAAAAAUACAAAACAAUGAAAGUGAAUAUUUGAGGCUUUUGUGUGAAAAAGAUAGAUAAUAAGUCAAAACACGGUUCUGCUAAUAUGAUAGUGCAUUAAAAAAGCGCAUGAUUAGGUCGACCGGUAAAGUCGUUACUCGUUAGCUGCUUUAAGGAGGGGAAAAGGGCUAAGCGGUCUCCGCUUUUAUCGACCGUUGCUUCGGUGCAAUAAAAAAGAUCAUUCAUAAAGAAAUAUUACUACAAUUUAACAUAUUCCAAAUGGGAUAAAAUUAGGCUACGCCCCUAUACUAUAAACCCUACAUAAUGUGGAUUAAGAUGCAUUAUUAAUUUAUUAUACUGUAGGUGGUUGUGGUUUCUCCAAUCUAACGCUGCAGAAUCUUAGGUAGUUUGUUUAUUUGUUACAUAUAUUUGUUUAUUUUUGCUUGCGAUAGAGUAAGAUACACUUAUCUUGGGUCAAUUUGUAAUGCAUGUUACUAGGCAAGUGAUAUAUGUUAACGUUUUUAAUUUAGGGACUGUAAAAUCUUGUAGGUCUCUGAAUUUAUUUUCUAGAUUGAUUGGCAUAGAUAGCUAUAUAUGCAUUUUUUCCUGCUUGAAAUGUGAUUAUGUGCCGAUAUGUGAGAAUCGAUGCUAGAAAUCUUUCUUAGUCAAGAUUGUGUCCUAAUAUAUGUAUUUUACUUGGAUUGAGAAAGUAUAGAAGUCUACUAGCCAUGGAUUUCGUGUAACCUAUUGAAUUUUACGGCCUAAUUUUAUCCUCACGGUCACACUUAUAGAGAUUAUACAAGAAAUUUAUUUAUCUUUGGCUCUGUCUUCGCAUAGGAAAAAAUGAGAACACAAUCAUAUAAGCAUCUUUGCUUAUUAAAUCAAUAAAACUUAGUAUCGCCAUAUUGCUACCACCCUCAUGAGCUUGGCAUUAAAAAUAGAGUGAUGUUAAAUAGCCACAAUGUGACCACCAUGCACAAAUUACUUAAAUAGAGAAAAAUUUAAUUUAUUUAAUUUAUCUUUUAAAUAAAAAAUGAUUUAAUUAUUAUACUGUACUGUAUUGUUUUUNUUUUUUUGAUCAAGUAAGAAAUCAAUUAUGAAACGGUACCAGGGGUACCAGCAAAAGUUUUACAAAAGAUUGGUGACCAAAUUAUCAGUACACCAAUCAGAAAAAUUCAGGUUUUUCGGAAUAAUCUCGAAGAUUUUGUUCCAACUCCAAGUCCUAACCUUAAUAUCCGACAAGACGAUUUUACAAUCCCAGCCACCGUCUUCAAAUCUGCAUUCGUUUCUGCGUCUCCACAGCAUCCAAAUGGAGCACACCCAUACCGUCAUAAGAAACUUCCUGUUCUUCAUUCCGCUUUCCAGGUCAGCGAAUGUCUCGAAGUGUCUUCUUGCCGUAUUGAGUCUAACUGUGGUGAAUCCCAGCCAUUUCUGAAUCUCGUCCCAAAGCUCCGCGGUUUUCGAACAAAGGAGGAACAGAUGGUCAGUCGUCUCCCUUUGGCUUUUGCAGAAUUUACAUCUAACCUCUUCGUCGCCAAGCGUCACCUUCCUCUUUUCAAGAUUAUCGCAGGUGGCGAGUCUAUUUUUGAGAAGUCUCCAGGCCGUGAUGAUUGCUUUCUGAGGUGCCGGUGUUUUCCAAACUCUCGAAAUCAUCUCCGAUGGACAAUGUAACGCCGCUGUGUCACAACCUUUCGCGAAAAUGAUCGAGUAGGCUGAUUUUGUGGUGUAGCACCCUGCCGGAGAUGCUAUCCAUGUCCAUGCAUCUUCUUCACCUGCAAUCACAGCACAAUCAGAGAUAAAGGACAAAAGUUGUUGCACCAUCCCACUCUCUCUCUCCCGAAGCUCCCUUCUCCACGUCAAGGCCCACACCCACUGUCCGUCUUCCCACUUCCCCGACUCUCCAAUAAGAAUUUCCUUGUUGGAACAAAGGUGAAAUAAUCUAGGAAAGACGAGUUUCAAAGGUUUUUCCCCCACCCACUUCUGUGUCCAGAAUCUCGUAUUCAGUCCAUUCCCGAUUUUCCUCCUAACAUUCUCCAAAAACCAUCCUCUCGCUGAACUCCCUCCAGAGGCAAUAACUUUUGCCCACCAGCCCGUUCUGCUUCUACUUUGCCUCGACAACCGAAGACCCUCAUCCCCCCAUUCUAACUCUCCAUAAAUGGACCUCACAAUUCUAGUCCAAAAUAAACCUUUUCCCUCCAAAUAUCUCCACAACCAUUUUCCCACCAAGGCCUGAUUGAAGAAAACAAAAUUCCUAAAGCCAAGACCCCCCUCUUUUUUAGGAAGACAUAAUUCUUGCCAUUUAAUCCACGCAAUCGACCCCGAAGACCCAUUCCCUCCCCACAAAAAUCUACAGCAUAAGGAUGUUAAGGAUCUAGCAGUAGCUUUAGGAAUAAUGGAGAAGGAGAGUUGAUAGGUAGGAAUCGCUUGCAAAACCGCCUUAACCAAAGUAGCACGCCCAGCCAACGAGAGUUUCCUGUUUUUCCAGUCAGAAAAUUUCUUUUUGAUUUUUUCGAUGAGGUAGUUCCAAUCAAUCACACUUUUACUCCUUCCCCCAAUCUUGACACCAAGAUACUUGAAAGGGAUGGAUCCAACACUGCAUUGCAGCUCAUUUGCCAUCUCUGAAGUUUGCAUUCGUCAAUUCCGACCCCCAUUAAGCUGCUUUUGCUGAAGUUGACUUUGAGACCUGAACACAAUUCGAACAAGGACAGAAUGUUCUUAACUCACCAGCAUUCUUGUCAUUGUCGGCCAGAAUGAAGAUGGUGUCAUCUGCAUAUUGGAGGUGUGUGAUCUUGAUCUUAUCCUUCCCAAUUUCCGCUGGUUGAAUGAGAUCCUUGAUCAAGGCUCUGUUAAUCAAAGCUUGCAAGCUUUCUGCUGUAAUGAGGAAGAGAAACGGAGAAAGAGGGUCUCCUUGUCGGAGCCCUCUUUCCAAAUAGAAAUCGCCCGAAGGAGAGCCGUUGAUCAAGGUGUUUUGGCGGGUCGAUUAGUGGCAGCCUUGAGUCCAUCUUGUAAAAGGAUCGAAGUUAAAGCGCUCCAGCAUAUAGAAUAUGACUUUAAUAUGUGGAAAAAAAUUUAAGAGCAAGUAGGGCUUUAAAUUGUGAACGGAGGGAGUAUUUAAAAAUAAAUUAACUAUUUUUUUUCUAUUUAGCUAGUUCAUCGACAACCAUAAUGUGACUGCAUAGAUUUGUUAUUAAAAAUAGUAUCAAGUCUCUACCAAACAACAACAUAUAAACUAUUAGGCACAUAUUAUGUCCUCAAUAUUCAUAUUUUAUAAAGGAUGAAUAUUGCAUUUUAACAUAUUUUAUGAGGAAUAAAUGUAUAAGGCGAUUUAGAUACCUAGGAGGAAAUGUGGAAUAAUAGGUGAUGUGGGAAUGCAUGUGUGUAUAUACACAUUCGUGCUGCCCCAACAGUUGGAUGCAGAGAGAGAAAGCCGCUAGGUACAUUGUACAUGAGCCCAUGCAUUAUAUUUUAAACCUAGCUUUUCUCAUCUUUGGACUUUUCCAAAUUUAUAUAUGUAGUGACGGAGGAGGCAUCGGGCCCCAUUUGAGAUUUAAAAAACAUUACAAGUAGAUUAUGUAUUUAAUAUCUUACAAAGUAAUUAUAAAUCUAAUAAAUUUUUCGUUAGUGCUAGUAAAUUUAAUUUAAAAAUUUAUAUCUUUAUAUUAAUUGAAAAUUUACAACAUCAAAAUUAUUACUCCUUCCGUCCCAUGAAGCUUGAGCAAUUUCUUUUCAACACGUGUUUUAAGGAGUUACUAGUAUUUUAUGUAUUAAGUGUGGUAGGUGAAAAAGUGAAAAUGUGAAUAAAGGGAAAAACUUUUGCCAUAUAAUUUAAAAUGCUCAAGCUUCGCGGGACAAACCCGAAAAUGAAUAUUGUUCAAGUUUCGCGAGACGGAGGGAAUAUUUGUUAUUGAAUUAAAUUAAUUUUAUUUGGCUAGAUCUAUACUUUUAUUUAUUAUAAUUGUAUUAAAUUAUUCCCAUCUCAUGUUUACAUAUAAAUCCACCUUCCCAAACUUCAAUGGUUGAGAAGUGGGAUAUAUAGUUUUUUCGGAAAAUUAUUUACAAUUAAAAUUCUUAAUUAGUAGUAUUGUAGGGGUAGUUGUGAAAUUUCAAAUUUGAGUGAAAAAAGAUUAAUAGCCGUAUUUAUAAAAUAUGUGUAUUUGGUUAUUCCAUUAUUCAUAAGGCUCACGUUACGUAUCACAUUGUCUUGUAAUUAGAGGAUUUUUUUUAAAGCGGGACGAUAAAAUCUAAAGGAAACGGCUUGCCGGGGAUAAAGUAUUAAAUAAAUAAUGCAUUAAUAAAUGAAUAUAUACAUAGGGGAUGUUUGAUAUGGGUUUAAAAGCAGGAUAAGUUAAAUUAAUAUGAAUUUAUGUAGUGUUUGAUAUUAUGUGUUACUAAUAUGGUUAACUCCAGGUUUAUCCCAAGACUCUGGAUACUUUGUGGGAUUAACCCACACUAAUUAUCCCACCUCCCCCAUGGGAUUGACCCACACUAAUUAUUUCACCCCCUUCAUAGGCUACUAAUUUAGGUAUUUGAUAUGUUAAUCCAACAUAUUUCAAUGGAUAUCAAACAUUUUUUGGGAUUAAUUACCAAUGAUAUCAAACACUCAUCUGAGAUUAGAAAUCAUGACUAAUCUACACUAAAUUAUCAGGAUAAUUUAUAUCCUGAUUAAUCUAAUACUGUAAAUCAAACGGAUCUAAUAUAGCUUUUUUAAGUAUAAGUUUAUUCAUUGGAAUACGCGCGUCAUCCAUGUUCACUGUCUUUGUCGGACUUGAGUUAUUUUUCUUCUCAAUUUUUGGAUACAUAUAAGCCUAAUUAAACAUUAGAUUAUAACGAAUCUCCUUUAGGAUUAUAAUAGUUCAUCAAACAUAUUCCUUCAACAUGAAACCCAACACGUGUCAAUACAAGAAUAUAUAUCGAUUCUAUUUUUUUGAUAUAAUUUCACUGAAUAAUUUAGUAAACAUAUUUGAAAUUAUUUUAUGAAAGAAGCCAAAAACAAAAAUAAAAGGAAUAAUAUGGAAAUUUAUUGCAUCACUGAACAAGGGUGAAGAAGAGAUUUUUCUUUAUAAGUAAUUAGCUUAUAUCUAAACUCUACUUUUCUGAGAUUUGGAUGAGACUUUACGUACUUAGGUCAAUGCUUCUUUUUAAUUACAAUCAUCGCCGUAAAAAUGCUGCAUAAACAACAAAAACAGAGGUUAUACAACUCACAUCUUACAAGCUUAGAAGUUUCUUUAUCUGCGUUAAAAUCAAAAUUACAAUUCUCGCUGUAAAACCGUGUUAUCGGACUUUAAUUCCAAUGGGCGGAUAAACAAAUUUAAUAGUCGAACUUACCAAAUUAUAAAAGAUGAUUUUUUUCUUAAUUAAUUACAUAUUGAUUAAAAGAAUUGAAAUGUACUAGGAACUUACCAAAUUAAUAAUCGUAGUUAUAUAAAAUGUCGCUAUUGUGUAUUCAAUGACGCGAACAAGAGCAAGAGAUCGCUGCCAAAAACAUCCGCAUUAAUAAAAGUCGUAUAUCACUACUAUACUCAGCAACAAGGAGAGUCGGCCGAUUAAAUGUAUGUGCAUUGGCGUAGCGGUAGAGUGAUUAAUAUUUGAGAUUAAAGUUGUAAAUUUAUCAUAGAAAAAUGAAGAAUAAGAAAAAGUGGAAAAAAUUUAUCACACCAUUUAUUUUUCAUUGCAGAUUCGCAUGUUCUUAGGAAGAAAGUCAUGAAAAAAAUACUAUCAUACCACUAUUUUAUGAUAAUAUGUAGGGUUAAUUGCAUCAAAAUACCUGACCUUUUUCCAAAAUUUGGUUUUUUGACAAUCUUUUUAAUUGUAGCAAAAAUUUUAACGAGCUUUCAAUUUAUUGCAAUGUCCGUCCGGGGAAAAUUUCCGGCCAAAUUAAAUAUGAGUUGGCAGUCGGAAUGCCCACGUGGCAUCGGAAAUGCCAAAUCACACCCCCCUCCCCCUCCCACGUCACCCCCACGUCGCUCUCUCUCUCUCUCUUCCCCCUUCUCCUCCCACGUCACCCUCCCCCUCUUCCCCCUGCGCAGACCCCUCCUCCUCCCCCACCCCGGCGCCGCCGCAUCUUUUCCAGCCGGCGAACCCUUCCCCCUCCCCCAUCGCCACUUCCUCCAGCCGGCGAACAAGCGAGAAAGAUCUCGAAAAGGGCAUCAAAGCAGAGCACUAAUGAACACAAAAAAAUAAACACAUUUCAAAUUUAUUUGAAACUCAGAUCUGCAAAUUGCUGCAAAUUGAUUCCCCAACAAAUCCUCCAUCCUCUACAAAUCCUCGCUGCUACAAAUCUUCGAAGAGGGAGAAUGACGUGGGUUUCAACCACCGCCGAGCCUAUCGCCGUCGCCGCUACAAAUCUUCGAAGAGAGAGAAGGCGGAUUGGCGGGCGCCGCUGCUGGAUCUCUGGAUCUCGGCGCGGUACCGCUUGUGGAGCUUCUCCAUCUUGUGGCGGCACUGGACGGAGGUCUUGGGCGGGGCACCGCGACGCCACGUCGUCGGCGACCUCCUGCCAGUGGUUGCCGCGGCGAAGGGAGUACCACUUGUCCUUGUAGGCGUCGAUGAGGGCGACGGUCUCCUCGGGGCUCCAGCACGGCGGGGGGAGGCUAGCGUGGCGGUGGGGAUGUCGUCGGGGGAGGAUGGGGAGAUGAUCGUAGCCAUGGUGGGGGAUGAGAUCCGGGGGAAUUAAGGGGGAACUGGGAAGGGGGAUGGAGAAGAGAGAGAGAGAGAAGGUGACGUGGGAGGAGGAGGGGGAAGAGAGAGAGAGAGAGAGCGACGUGGGGGUGGACGGUGGGGAGGGGGGNGUCGUAUAUCACUACUAUACUCAGCAACAAGGAGAGUUCUGCCCAUUAAUGUAUGUGCGUUGGCGUAGCGGUAGAGUGAUUAAUAUUUGAGAUUAAAGUUGUAAAUUUAUCAUAGGAAAAUGAAGAAUAAGAAAAAGUGGAAAAAAUUUAUCACGCCAUUUAUUUUUCAUUGCAGAUUCGCAUGUUCUUAGGAAGAAAGUCAUGAAAAAAAUAUUAUCAUAUAUACCACUAUUUUAUGAUAAUAUAUAUUUUCAUGAAAUAUGAGUGAACCGAGGGCCGAAAAAUGAGCUAUACAUCCGAAUUCUUUUUCCAUGGAGGAAAAUGAUCUAUUAUACAAAAUAUGUGAAAAAAGUUGCAAACUGGGUGAAAGUAUACAUUUUCCACAUGUUUUUUAAAAAAGAAAAAAGAUGAGAGUUCACAAAAGAUAAGUCUGAAGUUAUUUAUACUGUCAACGAGUAAUACAAAAAUAAAUAAGAAGAAUUUACUCCCUCCGUCCCACUGUAAGUGAGACCUUUUUUUUGGGCACGGGAAUUAAGAAAUGUGUAUUUUGUAUGUAAGUGAAAAAGUGAAAAAGUGUUUAAAGGGAAAAACUUUUACGUAAAAAGGAAAGAGUCUCACUUACAAUGGGACGCCCAAAAUAGAAAGAGUCUCAGAUACAGUGGGACGGAGGGAGUACAUGAUAUACUAAUUCUAAAAGCUAUGGAAACAACAAAGCAAUAUAUACUUAAUUUUAUUUUUAAGUGAAAUCUAAUAUAUCGAUUUACUAACAAAAAUCUGACCCAAAAAUAUACUUGCACGGUCGGAAAUAUAUGGAUUUGCCACUAGUAGGCAAAUGGGCAAAUGAAUUUUUCCACUCGUGGGCAUUUUAUAGUUAACUUCAUUGAAUUAAAUAAUUUGUUGAAAAAGUAUAAAAUAUAGUAUAAGGAAAAUUUAAGAAUGUGUUUGUAAUUGGGAUAUUAGGAAUAAUUUAAUCAAAUUGUACGUAUAAUGCAUGUUUUUAUAAAAAUAAGUAUUUUUCAUAUACAUUUAACGAAACUGUGCAUUUUAUUUUUUCACCCUAAUUUUUGCACUUAUUUAACAAUAUAUACGAGUGACAUGACACAAAAUAAAAGAGAGAUUCCAAAGUAAUGCAGGUCUUGAAAAUGCCGUCAAUGAUGAAACCCUAAUUUUAACCACCGGAAAAGAGAGGGAAAAACGAACAGUAAAAAGUUCAAAAGAAAGGCUAAAGUUGAAUUAAGAAACAGUAAAACAUAUAAAAAGAAGCUCAAUGAUACUUAACCUUUCUUAACUAACAAAACCGCGUACUCAACAACUUGCUUUUACAUUCACCAUUGAGAGGCUCCAAAAAAAGAAAAGCUAUUUGUCAAGGGUGAAUUAUUAAAGCAUAUAUCUAGAUCAAUUUAGCCAUGGACACUAUAUAAAAUAAUAUGAAUACUCAUUAACCAUAUUUUAAUUUCCUAAAUUUUUUUCUCAAAGUAGUAAAUUUUUAUAUUGCUAAAAAGAACCCUUAAUUCUUUUAAUUUCCUCCAAAAGUCCUGAUGAUCACAAGGCUACCUGCACCACUUAUUUUAAGAGAAUAUAUUAUUUGAACUUCCUAUCAAAAUAGGCACAUUAUUUAAUAAUGGAAGGGGUAUGUUUUUAAAUGUAAAUAAGGUAAGAGAAGACUUUUUUUUCUUUUGGAAGGUCUUGUGGAUUCCAUAUAUAAUACUCAAUUUCCUUUUUUUUGUAUUCUGUUUCACAAUUAUGAUUUUGAAUGUGAAUUGAAUAGGCUGUUUUUAUUCAGUAAGGUCGCUUGCUGAUUUCUUGUCUUUUAUUGACCUUGUCACUCUAUAUAACCAUCAAAUUCUUGUCUCUCAUCAAAACUCCCUCUCCUCCAAAACAUUGUUUUCUUCUGCAACAUUUCACUUCUCAAAACAUAUAAAAAGUUUAAGAUACUUUUAGAGAGAGAGAGAGAGAGAGAAUGGGAGAGAUGGCUUCUCUUUGGUGUUAUGCAGAGGUAUGGCUACCUAUUUCACUUAGUUAAUUUCUUCAUUUUCUAUAUCAAUAUUUUCUUCCAAAAAUUGUUGAUGAUCAAGUACAUUGAUUCACCAUGUUAAAACUUGAAAAAAAGUAAAUGUCUCAAGUUUGAAGAAGAGUUUAAGUACUCAAUGAUUAUAUAGUUUGAGAAAUCAUCAAUUUACAAUCAUUUUGCAGUUUAAAUAUAUGAAGUAAAAUCAGUAGUCUUUUAUUCUGAUGCAAUGAAAUGAAUAGGCUUCUUCUCCGACAAUCAUUUUUUUUUUUUUUAUUUUCUGACGUUUUGAAGAAAUUAAUGAUACAGCAUGGUGAAAUUGAUCAACUGGGGCAGAAGCUUCUGUACACGAGUCUGGAACUGGAGAAGCUGAAAUCCGAAGCCAUGGAAGAAAUGCGGAAGAACAAAGAAUACGUGAAUCAACUCAUCCAGCUCCUCAAAUGCGCCAUCGAAGAGCGAGACGAAGCAAGGAAGCAGCUCGACAAACUCAUCGGCGCCGGCGCCGACAUCUUCCCCUAUUUCCAAGGCGGCGGCGGAGACAGCCCUCUGCUCAAGCCGGCGAAGGCCAAUUCGAGCAUAACCGAAUCCAACAGCCUCUCCGACACGCACAACUACCACUCCCCCUUCGACGCCGCCGCCGUCUCCUCGCCGCCGAUCAGCUUUGUCCAGCAGGACUCCGCCGUCGAUCGGGCCUCGUUGGUGGUCGAUAACCUCUCCAAGGGGAGGCUUCUGCCGCCCAAGGGGAUGCUUCUGCAGGCGGUCCUUCAAGCGGGGCCGCUGCUGCAGACGCUGAUGGUGGCGGGCCCGCUGCCGCGGUGGCGGAACCCGCCGCAGAUGCACCCGUUUCAGAUACCGCCGGUCGGCAUCAAAGGCGGCGGGGCGGAGUUCGCUUCCCAGCAGAGUAGUUCGAUUUUGUCGGAUUUUGGUGAUUUGAAUUAUGGGAAUAAUAAUAAUGCUUCUUUGAUAUCGCCUGCGGCGGUUAGUAGUAAUGGCGGCGGCUGCUUCCGGUUGGCCAAACGCCAGAGGUUCUGUUGAAGUUAUACUCAUUAAUUAAUUAAUUAUAUAUAUAUAGUUAGACCGAACAAUUUUUUGUAUAAUUAGGAGAUGGAGGAGUACUGCUGUAAAUGGAUUAUUACUUUAUUUCAUUUUAUUGCUUUUCUUCAAAUAUGUAGUAUAUUUUUGGUGUUUUAUUUCACUCGUAAUGCAAUUAGAUAUCCGGAUUUGAGUAUUUUGUAAUGAAUCUUGAUCCCGUCUGAUUUAGUUAUUGUGGUCCUCUAAUUAUAUAUACAAGGAUCAAAACUACCUAGGGAUUGGACUUCAAAUAAAGUAAGCCAGAUCAUGGCUAUAUUUUGGACUUUAAACUAUAAAAGUAACUAAAAUUAAUAAUUCUUCUAAUUUUCUUUUGACGAGAAAUACUUCUCAUAAUAAAUUACAUAUUCGACACAAAAGAUUCCAAAUGCUCUAGUGAUUUUGUGUUAAUCAUAGGUAAAGGAAUUAACAAUCUUUUACGAAUCCACAAAACAAAUAUGCGUAGCUUGGUCUAUAAUGAAACCAUAGUUCAUUACUAAUUAAAACAAAGCGGACGAAAGAAUCGAGAAUCGAGUGGCUAAGAAAUUUCUCAGAAGACAUCCCUCGUUGGGAAAAACCUAUGCUUCAUGUUAUGAUAUGUUGUGACACUAUAUAUAGUGCAUAAAAUAGUAUGUGUAAUGGUAAGUUUUGACACAUUCAUUGAACAUACAAUAUCGUUUGAUGAUUGAUCACAGCUAAUGUGUAAUGAUUAUGUAUAGUUAAAAGAUAACAUAUAAAAUCUGUUUACUAAAGGAAUUAAUCGUGAUCAAUCAUACAAUGCAGUUAGGAGAACAAAAUUAAAGUUCACAAUUAAAGAACAUUUUUAUAGUGGUAAUUCAACUAUGAAGAUCCGAAAACUUGAUUCAAUAAGACAAUUAAAUUAUGAAUGUUCAGUUGUGCACUUGAAAGCACAACUUUAAAAUUCAUUGUCGAACUACCCAAAUGGAAAGAGGGCUGUAGUUAAUUAAUUUCAUUUUCACGCAAUUUUUCCACACAAAUAACAUAAACUAUAGUUGAACAAGACAAAAUAAAAUAGAACUUCCAUGUUCCAUAUAGAUUUAAUACGACGUGGUUUCAUGCUUUAUUGUUAAUCAAAUAAUAAGAAAUAUAUAAAAAUUAAUAACGUCUUUGGAUAACUUAAGUGGGAAUUAAUGAGUGAGGGGAGAGGUCCAAGUAUAAGCGCCCUAGUCGGCCUUUAAAUGCUGAUGGGCCAUUAUAUUAUAGCAAGUUGGGCUGAAAGGUCCAAUUAUAUUCAACUUAUAUAGAAAAUUAUGACCCGAGUUGAAAAAUUAACAUGAUUUUUGAAAGAUGCAAUAUGAGACGGACCAAAAUGUUCGGCCUAGAAUGAUGAGUUGGGUUGCUGGAAAAUUUGUAGCAUUCCAAACUUACAAUUUUUUUUACAAAAUUGUGAUGGCCCGUUUCUGUUGAAAUGGUCCAUCCCAUCUCUUCGAAGCUCAAAAUUGUUUUGCGUCACAUUUACAAUUUUUUAAAAAGGUGAUCGCUAUUUUUGCAUAUUUUAAAUGUUUAAAAUUCGACUCAAUCAGUCAUAAAAGGUAAUUAGAUCUUAUGUGAAUUAGAAGUAAAUGAACAUAAUUUAUUCAUAUAUAUAUAUAUAUAUAUAUAUAAUACUCCCUCCGUCCACUAAUUCAUGACCUAAGUAGCAAAACACGGGUUUUAAGAAAAAAUGUAUUUUUAUUAGUUGAGUGGAGAAAGGGACUCACAAUUAAUGUAUUGUUUAUUAGUUGACUGGAGAAAAAGUGUAUUGUUUUGGGACCCACCAAUUAAAUAUAAAUAAAAACUUACUAAAAAUGGAUAGGUCUUGAGUUGGUGGACGUCCCAAAAAGGAAAGAAGGCCUUGAAUUAGUGGACAGAGGGAGUAUUGUAGGUUUCGAAGAAAGCAAAAUUUUUAUUUCGCAAAAAAAGAAAAAGUUACGAUAGAAGAAGUUGCACCAAUAAUAAGGUCUAUUAUGAAAGCCAGUCGUCAAGGCAAGGAAUAUAUCUGCAGAAGUUGAUGAAGCAAUAACGUGAUGCAGCUUUCACUUCGAAGCAAAGCAAUAUUCUAGUACUUCCCCGAUUCUAAAAAAAGAAUUUUAUAAGAAAAUAACACGAGUUUUAAUAAAAAAUUUGUUAAAUUUAUAAGUGAAGAAAAGAUCUCAUCUUAGGGGGAAAAAAAAAGAUCUCGUCUUAGGGAUAGUGAUUUGGUGAAUAAAAAUGAUAGGUCAUAUAUGAUAGAUUAUGUAAAUAAAUUAAUAUUUUAAAAAUAAAAUAUUGUAGUGUAGUGUUUAUAAAUGAGAUGAUACUAUUUGUCGUAUUCGUGAACAUUAAAAAAUGAAAAACUGAGACGAUUUGUUCUGGGAUAAAAAGAGUAAUAAAUUAUGUAGUCGAGAUAUAAUAACACGAGCUUUAAAAGCGUCACAUGCUAAGCAAAUUAAAAUCCUCUAAUUAUUUUAAAGUUUCAAUUUAUUCUUUUUGGUGAGGUGUGUUAGAAAAGGAUGAAGGAAUUCAAAUUUUGGUGGAUUAUGUGUACAUGGACAAAUUGUAGGCUAACACGAUCAGCCGACCAAAUAUAUACGCAGCUGUUUCAUACACGUUUAAAACUUUCUCAAAAGUAGGACGUGGGCGGGACCCACUUGCUGCGCAGGUGCUCAUCUAGUUCUCAUCUUUAAUCAAAUGUAAGGAAACAAACAAAUUUUGAUGGAAACGUGUAGAUUUAAAAUUGUAUGAAUCUGCAUAGUUUAGAUACGAAAAUUUAUGAAACGAAAAUAUUUCAGAUAACGUAAUUUAUGGAACAAAAAAAAGGUAGAACCUUUUCGGAAUUAUAAAUUUGAUAUACAUUUUAACUAAUUGCUGAUUAAAUCUCAGUUUUUCGACUUUUUUUGUAAAUAAGUUUUGAAACUUUUCAAAUAUGUGUAAAUAGUUCGAUUUUUAGUAAAUUAGCGUAUCUCAAUUUUCUGCAUGAGUUUUGAGUGGAGAUUUAAAUUUUUAUUUAACGGUGAAAUUUACGAUUAACUAUAUAGGAGUUUAUUAAAAUUAUUGUUUGAAAUGUCUAAUUGCUAAAUAAUUGAGUUGGGAGUUAGGUUAGGAUCAUAGAGUUAGGACUUUCCCAUUAUUAGUUCUGAAUUAAAUAUAAUAAAAUUGACAACACGAGAAAGCUAUAUGAAAAAUGAGAUUCAAAAAUCUUGAAUUAAUUUGAAAUUUGAACGCCACAUGUGUAUUAUACCAGUAUACGAAUCUUAAUUCCCAAAUUCAUAAUUAAAAGAAUUGAAUUUACUAUGAAGAAAAAAAAUGAUAAUUUUAUUACAUUAUUCUAAAAAUUGUGACUGAUUUGAAAUAAUAUAAAAAAAUAUAGUAAUUUUAUUAAAUUAUUCUAAAAGAAUUAUUCUAAAAAUUGUGACUAAUUUUAAAAAUAAUUUGAAGUAAGAUUUAACAAUAAAGUUUAAUAAAUGAACGUAGUUGACUUCCUGCUUCCAAUACGACUCUCUUGUGCGUCAUUAAUCAUUCAAAACUCCGAAAAGACACGCGACAUCAAAAACAACUCCUCCAUCUCGCCUUUUUUUUUUUUUUUUUUUUUUUUUGAAGAAUCUUUCAUUCAAACCGUUGAAAUCAUCACACCUUUAAAACAUGUUCCAUUUUCACCUCUGAUUCCACGAUUCUCUUAUAAAAGUUAUUGUUUGCAAGAUUUCUGUAGCUAUGACUCAAUCUGGGAAGAAGCAUCUGCAGGAAAACAGUAAGUUUUUCGGAUUUUCCUAUUUUUUGGAUCAUGGUUUUAGUCAUGAUUUAUUAUUAUAAUUUUUUUUUUCUUCUGAAAUGGACUUUUUGUUGUUUUUUGGUUUCUUUCUUUGUUAAAUUAUUUGAGAAGUGUAUCCAAAAGUGAAGGUGAGGGUACAGAGAGAAGAUGCUGACCAAUAUGUUUAUGAGAAGAAUUCCUUGCAGUCUUUGAAGGCUUUUGAAUGGCUAUCUCUCAACGAUUCCUCUUCUUCAGGUAAUUUUAUUUUAUUUUUUAAAUCGAUUUCGUUUUUUAUAUCUUGAUAUUUGAUUAACUUUUUGGUUGGAGCAAAUAUAUUUACUUUUUAUGUUACUUUUCUUGAAAUUCUGUCCUGUUUUAAUAGGCUUUUUUUGGGGUACUGUAAUUGGUUGUGUUUGAAUUUUCAGAUUAUUGUAAUUAAUUUGUCAAGUUGGUCCUUUGAUGUUUUGAAUUUGAUUAGUUGUUGAUGAGCAAUCCGUAAAAAUGGCUCUAAAUUCUGAUCAUGUUAUCUUGAUGAGUGACUUAGAGGGUUGUUUGGCUAAGCUUAUUUUAGAGAGCUUACAAUAUGUUUUUCAAGAGCUUAUAAGUUGUUAGAGUGUUUGGAUGAUUGAGCUUAUAAGAGUGUUUGGAUGAUUGAGCUUAUAAGCUAGAGAAAAAAUUAUGAGUUAGAAAGAAAAUUGGAGUUAAAAUUGGAAGGGUAUAAGUUGGAAAUAACAAAUCAUAAUUGGGUUAUUGUUGUUUAUAAAUUUAAGUCAAAAUAAGUUGAGAUUGAGGAACUUAGUUUUCAAAAAUCUUAUAAGUUGUUGGAGCUCAUUUCUACAACUUUUAAGCUGUAUAGGAGCUUAUUUUGCCAAACAUUUCACCAAAACUUAUAAGCUCCUAAACAACUUAUAAGCUCAGCCAAACACCCCCUUAUACGAUGUGGAGAAUGAGAGCCGAUUGACUGUAUAGUCUGUAUUGAUCUUUCCGAGUGGAACUUGAACUCGUGUUUUCUCUAAGAUUACAGAGUUGUUUACUAUGUAGAAUGUAAGAAAGAGUUGCAGCCUUCAUCAAUCUCAGAGCUACUGUUUCGUAGCUAGUAAAGAUCAAUAUAAUGCAGUAAGAUCAAAUAACCAUUUUCUCGUCUUCACUGCUAUGGUUGCUGAGAUAUGAUGCACUUGAAUUCUAUGAAGUUUGCUUGUUAUGUUGUAUGUAAAGAGCCUAUUUUAUUUCAAAGGGUAACAUUGAGUUCAUCAUUGUCUAUUGAGCAUAAAUCUUGUUGCUUGCAUUAUGCUCAUGAAUAAAGUUCAUUGUGAUUAUGCUAAGCUGUAUAAUGCAAUGCUCUGCUCAAGCGUUUGCUACAUAGAAACAUUAAAGAUUAGCUUGCAAUUCUUCAUAGUAAGUGCAUUGGCUAGUCUUGAACGUUUCUCUUUGGAUGUGCAGAUGAUUCCCCAAGGCCCGUUGUGAGGGUUCCCCACUCUUAUGUCCCUCUAUCACCUCCUCCGAGCUUCUACAGAUCCAAAGGUUUGGCAUUUUGCUCGUUGGAUUAUGACAAUAUCGGUACUGAGUUUUAGACGAACACAAAAUGAUAAUAAUCUCUUGCUCAACAGAGGAAACAAACAAAAAGAAUGCAGAUGUGAAAGAGAACCAAAAAAGCGUUAGAGCGACUUCAGCCCCACGCCCACGUGCAGUCUUAUCGAGUCCAGGUUAGUUACAAAGUUCAUCUAUGUACGCAUACAAGAUUUUCUGCUAGCAUGAAUUUCUUGCUGUCUGGUUUCCAAAAUCGUGAUUUUAUAUUUUUGGAUCUAAUAUGUUUGGUGCAUAUGAUUAAAAGGUUGCAAGUAAUUUAUCUUGUAGGUUGUGACUCGUGAAUAUCCAAAUAAGAAUGUUGGUUUUUAUUUUAAUUUUUAUGAAAGAACAAGUAAAUUUAAAGAUCAUGUGACGUUAGAUUCAAACAUGAGAUCUAUGGCUUCAAGCAUUAAUCAUGCUACCAUAGGAAUGUUGAUUUUAGACACGACUUAUAGCUACUGGGGUGAACUAAUCAUCGCACCUAUCCGGUUUUGGUGUAAAUCAUGAAAAUGAGCUGCAUUGUCGUAAGCAACACAGUCGAGUCUUAUGCUUAGCAUAGGGGGUGUUUGGCUGAGUUUAUAAGCUCCUUAAAACAGCUUAGCCAAACACCCACCCCCUACACUUCAUAAAUAUCUAUGUAACUUCAUUUUAGUAAAUCUGAGUGUUGAAAAGAAAGAGUUACAAUGCAUAGUUUCUGUAGUUAUAAGGUCCUCUUUCAAAAUAUGUGAUGCAUUUACAUAAACUAUGCUUCACAUUCAAUUGGAUUUUCUACAUUGAGUUUAGACAGCACUCUACUAAGAACAUCACCACUUGUGUUUAUCUCUGUCUUGCUCAGACAACGAUGGGAUCAUCGGACAAAGAACACCAACACGAGCACAAAUGCAACCUUCUCCCGGCCCUAAAAACCGCGUUGCAAGUCAGAACAGACCCACACUAUGCAAGAUUUUCCCAAAAUCCACUACUGCUGAGGGCACACCUAGAAAAACACAUGCCAAGGAAUCAUCUGAGCUGAAAAACGACGUUCGAGCAAAAGGGAGAGUCACAGCACUGACUGAUUCAAGAACAAGAGCAGCAGGCUAGCAGCUGCACAGAGGAAAAAGACAGCUCCAUCAUGAGUUCUUAUGAACUGAUUUGGAGCUUAUACUUCUGCAGAUUUCUUCCUAGCAAUCAUUGCCCGAGAAUUCGAGUAACAAUUUUGAGUUUGGCAGAGAAAGAUGGGUCAGAUAAGGUAGAACGUUUUUUUGUUUUUUGGGAACAGCAGAAGGCUUUGUUUGUGUACAUAUGAUUUACGAAGUUGCAGUUGGAUUCUUCUGUUGCAAAAAUCUUAUUAUGACGUUAUGGAUACAUGCCACGUUUAUAUUUAUGAUAUAAAGUGGAGGUACAUUAACUUUUUCAAUCUAAACUGUCCUAAUAAUAAAAAUAUUAUUGAAAUCACUAUUCUUAUUCCUGCUACUAAAAAAGAUGUUCAUUUCUUAAAAUAUCCUAUAUAUAUAUAUAUGUAGGAGGAACCAAGGGAAGGGUCAGCCCCCACAUUCAAACCCCUUUUUUUUUAUCAUUAACAAUGACUUGUUCGGCUUGUUUAUCAUAAGGAAUUCGAACAACUGCUUCAAAUACAAUAUCGGGAAUCGAGAAUCUCGUGUGUACGAGGUCGUGUGAAUUGCAUUUGAGGGAUAUAAUAAAGAGUUAUUUGCAGUAAAAUAUAUCAACUUUCGGUGAAUUCUGAUUUUUUUCAUGACUUUUUAAUUUCAUAAUAAAAUACACCACUUCCACGAUUUGUCUGAUUUGUCUCAUGAAUGUCAAAUUCCUCUAAAUCAAUCCUGAUAUAGACGCUUGAGGUGCAAGAAAUUGCCAACGGGCAAUUGAACAGAGCAAAUUAUUCAAAUAUAAGAGAGUUUCUGGCACUCAUUUCUGAUAUUUCAGGCGUUUAUCUCAGCAUUGAUUUGGAAGAAUUUGACACUAAUGGGGAAAAUCAGAUAAAUCGUGAAAAUAGUAUUAUUUCAAAAUUGAAAAAUCAUGGGAGAAACCAAAAUUCAGUAAAAGUUGGUGUAUUUUACGGAAAAUAAGCUUAUAAUAAAAUACACAAGUAUGUUAUUUUUAAAAUAUUAACACAAAAUUUUGUUAUUGGUGUAAUUCGAACUUAGGAUGUUUUGUUUGAAAAGGUUUCUAUUGAAAUCUCUUCAUUUGAGUUUACUAGUUUAGUCUUUCUUGUUUCUGGGCUAGACGUCAAAUUUGUAUAUGGCCCAAAAGGCAACUAGUGGGCCACAUAGCUAAAUGGGCCGAAAUUUUAGGUAGAGAGCCCAAUGGGUCAAAAUUGCAGCUACGGAAGGAGAUUGGAGUACUUGGACCGUGGACAUAUCGCUGGGGUUUUUUAGACAAAAUUUUAAUUAUAUAAAUAAAAAGGGCACAGAUAAAAUUAGUAAUGCGAAAAAAUUUCUAAAUAUUUGACUUUCAAUAAUACAGAGACUCUUUACAGAAAUGAAUAUUUUUUAAACAAAAUACUACUUAUAAUAGAUUGUUUAUCAUCGUAUCUUAAGUGACUUGAUUUGUAGGUAUUAUUGUUCGUUUUUGAGUCAAAUGCUUAUUAUGAUGUUGUAAUUGCAAAAAAUUAAAUGAAAGUACUGUAAUUUACCAUAUUUUAAUACUCCCUCCAUCCCACGAAGUAUGACCCAAUUUUCUUUUUAGUUUGUCCCACGAAGUUUGACCUGUUUCUAAAAAUGACAAAAAAUUUAUCAUUUAUUCACCUUUUUCACUUUUUCACCUACCACACUUAACACACAAAAUACCAAUUUCUUAAUUUCCGUGCUGAAAAGAAAUGAGUCAUACAUACUUCAUGGGACGGAGGGAGUAUUUGAUAAAAAUUGUAUAUACAGACAUGAUGGGUUAUUGUGUGAUCACAAGCUUGAGCAGACUUAUUCAAGGAGAUUUGCAGCUCAAAAUUUGUGUUCACAUUUUAGUGCCAAAUACAAACAAGGGAAAGUGUAGACUAGUCUACCAUGGAGUGCUACAACCAAUUUUGGUCUUAAUAAAAUGCAAGUGUGAAUUUUUCUUCUUAUUCAGUUUCUAUACACAAUUGAAAUAGCUCUCAAUUGACCCUACAAGAAUGCUUCAACUUGUGAUGUCAAAUCAAUUAUAGGUAGUAAAGACUGUGAAGUAAUAUCAAAAUAUGAUUAACUUACAUCAUUCAGGAAAUUUUAUAUGCAUUUUCUUGACAUGUUUCACAUACAUGUCAUAAGGUGAAGCCAAAAACAUAUGAGAUCAUCAUUUUAAUUCAAUAGUACUUACAAGUUAAAGCAAAAAUCAAUAUAUCAUGAUUUGACAUUAACAAACUAAUGCAGCACAUGAAAUAUAAAGCAUAGUGAUUAAAGUGGUAAAAAAUAAAGACACCCUUCUUUUGAAACGGCCUAGUGGUAAAGUGAAUAUAAAUGUGAUUUAAUUCUGUCACAUGCACAUAGUUUUUCAAAUUUGACUUGCAAAUUGCUUAGGAACAUGUAUUUACCAAAUAUUAAGAUUAAGAUUUGUAUAGAAACAUGAAUUUACAGUGUGCUCCGAAAGUAGAGACUGAGGAUUACAUAAAUCCAAAAGGAAAAAACAAGAAGAAAAGUCCACAACGAGGUGCUAACUAUUUUUGUGAAUGAUAUAAUGCCAUGUUCUAAGACACCCCCAAAAUAUCAUCAAUUAUUAAAUGAAUCCAUAAAUGCACCAUGAAUAAUUAUAUGUUGACAUUCAACGAAAUGGGGCUAGCUAAAGCCCAAAGCCAGAGAAAAAUCGAGGCAGAGAACCUUCCAUCCCACACUAUAAAACAGCACCUUCACUCUCCAAUUUUCUCAUCACACUUAGCAAACUCAUUCAUAUCAAAUCUUCAUUUCUCUUCCAUUUCUCCAAAUUCCAAGAGGUAAUCAUGGGUGUGAUCACUUACGAUGUAGAGACCCCUUCCUCCAUCCCGGCCGGGAAGCUCUUCAAGGCCCUGGUGAUCGACUCCGACACCCUCAUCCCCAAGAUCCUGCCUCAGGCCAUCAAGAACGUCGAGAUCUUGGAAGGAGACGGCGGCGCCGGCACCGUCAAGAUCAUUCAUUUUGGCGAAGGGAGUCAGUAUAAGAGCGUCAAGCACCGUGUGGAGGCCAUCGACAAGGAGAACUUCACCUACACCUACACCAUCAAUGAAGGUGAUGUUCUCGCAGAUGUCAUUGAAUCCAUCACUUACCAUAUCAAGGUCGUCCCAACCGAAGAUGGAGGAAGCAUCUGCAAGAACAGGAGCAUUUACAACACCAAGGGUGAUGCUGUGAUUGAUGAGGAGAAGAUCAAGGAGGGGAAAGACAAGGCCCAACAUAUGUUCAAGGCCAAUGAGGCUUACAUCACCGCCAACCCCGACUACUGAAAGAGACGAGGCUUCAUAUAUCAAUGAUGUCAUUUUAUAUAUAUACGUGGUUUCUGAUAUGAGAUAAUUGGUGUGCGAGAGACUAUGUAUAGGCUUAAUUGCCUAGAGUGAUAUCGAUUUACUUUGUGUGAUUUUUGAAUUUGUGUUGAGUGAAUAUUAUUGUAUUGAAUUUGUGUUGCACUAAAUAAAGAAGCAUAGUUUUUUUUUUUUUUUUUUGAAUUAAUAAAGAAGCAUAGUUAAUUGCAAGUUUGGUGGUCGUGGGAUUAAUAUUUUUAUUGUUCUCUUGUGGUUGUUUUGUUUCUUUAUUUAGGGGUAACUAAUAUAUCCAUAUAUUUCAGAUUAGCAUAUGAACAUAAAUUUCACCUCAAAAUACAAGAACUUUCAUUUUUUAUUUUUUAUUUUUUUCUUUCUAACUUUGCACCUGAUAAAUAAUUUAACGUUGAAAACUGAGGAAGAUGUUGGAAUUAAUCUAUGUAUGCAUAGAGUUUUGAUAUAUAUUUUUAAUGAAUGAAUACUGAGGUAGAAGUCAGAAUUAUCUUUACAUGCAACGAAUUUUUUUUAUAAACAACAUAGUUAGACUAGUAAUGAAAUAUUGUCGUUUCAUCAUAAAAUAAGUCCUAUAUUUUUAGAUGAUCAUUUAAAGCAUUUUUUUUUUUGCAAUUUAAGACUAAGAGCAGUGGCGGAUCCAGGGGGGGCUAGGGGGGGCUUCAGCCCCCUCCCAAUUUUUGAGUUUUUUUUUUUAAAUUAUAGAUAUAUAUUUAUUAUUUUGUUUUAUAUCUAUAUAUAUGUGUAUAUAAAUAAAAAAAUACAAGAAAAAAUAUAGUAAUACAUUAUUUAUAGUAUCCAACUAUCCAUAUUAAUUGCUCAACACAUUGAGUUGUUACAUUUAUAGUAUUAUUUUUAUCAUUUUUUCUUUCUUAGUUAAUUUUUAAUGUUAAAUUUGAGUCAAUUCUAAAGGUAAAAGUAAAAUUACUAAUUACUAACAAUGAAAAUUAGUUUAUUUGUUUAGAAGAUGAAACAAUUUUUUUUUAAGAAAAAUGAAUAAAAGUACGUUUUUAUAUGCUUUCAAUCUACUUGAUGUUGAAUUAAUUGAAUUGCGAACAAUUAUCUUAUUAUAUUAAGUGAUUGUUGAAAAAAUGUAUGAAAUGAAGUGUACGGAAUGCUCAAAAAAAUUUGCUUCGGGGGCUCCCGCCCCCGAACCCCCGUGUAAAUAUUUUCAAGCACCGUAGUCCAAUAGAUUCAGCCCCCCCUAACAUUGAAUCCUGGAUCCGCCCCUGACUAAGAGGGUUGUGAGUUCACGAUCAAGGCCGUACUUCAUUAUUCGUGAUUCAUGAUUUUGAAUUCGUUGUUCGGGUCCAAUAUUUAGGUUCACAUAAUUAGGUCUUCGAGUUGUGUGUUUGUAAUUGAAUCCGUUGAAAAUAUUUUUAAUUUGUGUGCAAGAUUAGGGGGAAAAAAAUGAAAUUUUAUAUAUUUGGAAAUAUGAUUUAUAGCUCAUGUGCAAAAUAAAAAAAUAUAUAAAUUUUUUUAAGAUGCUAUUACCACUUUUAUUUAUUUUCGAGUUGAGUUCAAAAUCAUAAUUAAGGAAGACUGAUAAAAUCUAGAGGUCAAUCGUUUAGGUUGCUCACUGACAAUGAAAUGUGCAAAAUUAAUAUAAAAAUAGGCCAGUGAACCAUGUGGAUUGAAUCGGAGUCUUUUUUAGGUUCAUUUAUAUAGUUGGACAUAAAAGGGGAUAGAGGUUUAAUUCACUCAGUAUAAAAGUUGACGGUGAAUUUUAGACCAAUUAAUGAGAAACAAAUUUUUUAGAAAAUCAAGAAUUUAUGAAUAACUUUUAAUAAAAUAUCAUAUAUAUUUAUUUUCUUUAUCCAGUACUUGAUUUUUAUCCUGUGAUUAUUUAUUAGAUUGCUGAUCCAGUGACUUGAUUUUUAUUGUAUUGGAAAUUGAAUUAUAUAUUCUAGGGUAAAUUUAAUCUAAAACUAUAAUAAAUUUUUGUAAUAUUUUAUUUUUUUUCCAUAAUCUUUUAUUCUUGUUUCAUAAUCUAUUUGAAAUCUCUUGAUUUGAGUUUAGUCUGUAUCUCUGGGCCAAAACGUCAAAUUUGUAUAUGGCCCAAAGGCUUUUAAUGGGCUACAUAGUCAAAUGGGCCGAAUUUUUAGGUCGAGAGUCCAUUGGGUCAAAAUUGCAACUACAGAACGGAAUAUUCUAUUUAAGGAGAUUGGAGUACUUGGACGACGCUGGGGUCAAAAAUUAUUAAUGCGAAUUUUUUUCUAAAUAUUAGACUUUUAAUAAUACAGAGACGACUCUUUACAGAAAUGAAUAUUUUUUAAACAAAAUACUACUUAUAAUAUAUAGUUUAUCCUCGUAUCUUAAGUGACUUUAUUUGUAGGUAUUAUUGUUCGUUUUUUAGUUAAAUGCUUAUUAUGAUGUUUGUAAUUGCAAAAAAUUAAAAGGCAUUCGUAUGAAAAUUGUAUAUUCAGAAAAGAUGGGUUAUUAUUGUGUGAUCACAAUUCACAAGCUUGAGCAGACUUAUUCAAGGAGAUUUGCUGCUCAAAUUUGUGUUCACAUUUAUUGCCAAAUACAAUCAAGAGAAAGUGUAGACUAGUCUACCAUGGAGUGCUACGUACAACCAAUUUUGGUCUUAAAAUAAAUGCAAGUGUGAAUUUUUCUUCUUAUUCUGUUUCUAUAUAUAUAAUUGAAAUAGCUCUCAAUUGACCCUACAAGAAUGCUUCAACUUGUGAUGUCAAAGCAAUUAUAGUAAAGACUGUGAAGUAAUAUAAAAAUACGAUUAACUUACAUCAUUCGGGAAAUUUUCUAUGCAUUUUCUUGACAUGUUUCACAUGCAUGCCACAAGGUGAAGCAAAAAACAUAUGACUUCUUAUUCAUUUUAAUUUAAUACUAAGUUAAAGUUAACUUAAAUCAAUAUCAUGAUUUGGCAUUGACGAACUCAUGCAGCUUAUAAAAUAUCAAGCAUAAUGAUUAGAUAAAAAUCGUCAUACUCGAGUGGUAAAAAAGAAAGAUACAGAUCCUUUUGGGACGGCUAAUGGUAAAGUGAAUAUAAACGUGGUUUAAGUCUGUUAUAUAGACCUAUUUUUUUAAAAUGAGAUUUGCAGAUUUCACAGAAACAUAGAUUUAUCAAAUAAUACGACUUGUCACACAUAGUUUUUGAUGUAUGAUUUGUCUGUAUCGAAUCUUAAUAUCAUAAUGAAUAGUUUUUUUUUUCACAUUUUUUCACUAUUUUCAAUACUAAUUACAAUACAUUUUCACCACUUUCAAUACUAAUUACUCCCUCCGUCCCGGUCAAAGUGGUGCACUUCUUUUGGGCACGGGAUUUAAAGAGAAUAAGAUUGUAGUGUAAAAGUGUGUAAAUGUGUGUGGGGCCAUAUUUUUUGUAGUGUAAAAUUAUUACCAAAAAAGGAAAUGCACCACUUUCGGUGGGACAGCCCAAAAAAGAAUACGCACUACUUUCGGUGGGAUGGAGGAAGUAUAAUAUUUUUCACUAUUUACAAUAUACUCAACAAUUUUGUAUUAAAAUUCGUACCCCUUAGGAAGUUAUUUGGGGGUCGGUAGAGGAUAAUGCCAUGUUCUAUGACACCCCAAAAUAUCAUCGAUUAUUAAAUCAAUCCAUAAAUGCACCAUGAAUAAUUAUGUCUACAUUCAACGAGAUGGGGCUAGCUAAAGCCCAAAGCCAGAGAAAAAUCGAGGCAGAGAACCUUCCAUCCCACACUAUAAAAUAGCACCUUCACACUCUCCAAUUUUCCCAUCACACUUAGCUAAUCUCAUUCAUAUCAAAUCUUCACUUCUCUUCCAUUUCUUCAAAUUAAAAAAAAAAGGGAAUCAUGGGUGCGAUCACUUAUGAUGUAGAGACCCCUUCCUCCAUCCCGGCCGGGAAGCUCUUCAAGGCCCUGGUGAUCGACUCCGACACCCUCCUCCCCAAGAUCCUGCCUCAGGCCAUCAAGAACGUCGAGAUCUUGGAAGGAGACGGCGGCGCCGGCACCGUCAAGAUCAUUCAUUUUGGCGAAGGGAGUCAGUAUAAGAGCGUCAAGCAUCGUGUCGAGGCCAUCGACAAGGACAACUUCACCUACACGUACAGCAUCCUUGAAGGUGAUGUUCUCUCAGAUGCCAUUGAAUCCAUCACUUACCAUAUCAAGGUCGUCCCAACCGAAGAUGGAGGAAGCAUCUGCAAGAACAGGAGCAUUUACAACACCAAGGGUGAUGCUGUGAUUGAUGAGGAGAAGAUCAAGGAGGGGAAAGACAAGGCCCAACAUAUGUUCAAGGCCAUUGAAGCUUACAUCACCGCCAACCCCGACUACUGAACGAGACGAGGCUUCGUAUAUCAAUGAUGUCAUUCUAUAUACGUGGUAUCUCUGAUGCGAGAGGAUCGGUGUGCGAGAGACUAUCUAUAGGCUUAAUUGCCUAGAGUGAUAUUGAUUUACUUUGUGUGGUUUUUGUAUUUGUGUUGAGUGAAUAUUACUGUAUUGAAUUUGUGUUGCACUAAAUAAAGAAGCAUAAUUAAUGUUGCAAGUUUGGUGGUAGUGGGAACAUUUUUAUUUUUCUCGUGGUUGUCUUGUUAUUUUAUUUAAGUGUAAUUAAUAACCGUAUAUUUCGGAUUACGCAUAUGAGUAUAAAUUAAAUUUCGUCUCAAAAUACAAUAACUUUUUUUUUUCUCUAGCUUUGCACCUGAUCAUAAAUAUUUUUGACGAAUAAAUAUUGAUAUAGAAGCCAAAGUUAUCUUUAUGUGCAACGAAAAUCUUCAUAAGCAAUAUAAUUUGAUUAGUAAUAAAAUAUUGUCGUUUCAUCAUAAAAUAAGUCUCAUAUUUUUAGAUGAUCAUUUAAGGCAUUAUUUUUCACAAUUUAAAAUUAAAGGGCUGCGAGUUCACGAUUGAUUCAUGAUUUUGGUUCAUAUAUUUAGGGCUUCGAGUCGUGGAUUCGUGAUUGAGUUGUGAAUGUUUGAAAAUAUCUUUAAUAUGCUUUGGAAAAAAAAAUUAUAUAUUUGGAGACAUGACUUAUGGCUCAUGUGCGAAAUAGAUAAAUGUUAUAAAAUUUUGUAUUUUAGAUACUAUAACCACUUUUAUUUAUUUUCGAGUUUGAGUUCAAAAUAUUACUCCCUCCGUCCCAAUAAAAGUGGCCACAUUUCCUUUUUGGGUGUCCCAUUAAAAGUGGCUACUUUCUAAAAAUGGCAAAAGUUUACUUUAAUUAAGUCAACAAUUACUCACUAAUUUGGUCAACAAUUGUAGGCCAUUUUCUAAAAAUGUCAAAAUUACUUACUAAUUUGGUCAACAAUUGUAGGCCACUUUCUAAAAAUUACUCACUAAUUUUGGUGGGUCACACUCAAUUAAAACAUAACAAUUCCCUUCUUAAUCUCCGUACCUAAAAAAAAGUGGUCAUUUUUAUUGGGACGGAGGGAGUAAUAAUUAAGGAAGACUAAUGAAUCUAGAGGUCAAUAUAUCGUUUAGGUUGCUCACUGACAAUGAAAUGAGUAAAAUUAAUAUAAAAAUAGGCACCAUGUGGAUUAAAUCGGAGUCUUUUUCAGGUUUAUUUAUUUNUUAGGUUAUUUAGUUUAGUUGGACAUAAAAGGGGUUGGGAGGUUUAAUUCACUCAUUAUAAAAAUUGACGGUGAAUUUUGGACCAAUUAAAGAGAAACAAUCUUUAGUUAUAUCAACUCUUAUUAUAUUUACGGAGACUAUUUAUAGAAAAUUCAAGAAUUUAUGAAUAACUUUUAAUAAAUUAAAUAUCCUUUAUACAUUUAUUUUCUUUAUCCAGUGACUAUUUAUUGGAUUGCUUAUCCAGUGACUUGAUUUUUAUUGUAUUGGAUAUUGAAUUAUUAUAGGGGUAAUUUUGACAUCUCGCCGGGGAUUUUUUAGACAAAACUUUAAAAUAAAAAAGUGCAAAUAAAAGUUACUAAUGCGAAAAAUAUUCUAAAUAUUAGACUUUUAAUAAUAUAGAGACUCUUUAACUCUUUACAGAAAUUAAUAUUUUUUAAACAAAAGAUACUAAUAAUAGAUUGUUUAUCCCCGUAUCUUAUAAAGUGACUAGAUUUGUACGUAGGUAUUAUUGUUCGUUUUUGAGUCAAAUGCUUAUUAUGCUGGUUUUAAAAGGCAGUACUGUAAUUACCAUGCAUAUUUUAAUAUUCGUAAGAAAAUUGUUAAGAAAGAUGGGUUAUUGUGUGAUCACAAGCUUGAGCAGACUUAUUCAAGGAUAUUUGCUGCUCAAAAUUUGUGUUCGCAUUGUCUUGCCAAAUACAUACAAGAGAAAGUGUAGACUAGUCUACCAUGGAGUGCUACAACCAAUAUUUGGUCUCAAAAUAAAUGCAAGUGUGAAUUUUUCUUCUUAUUCAGUUUCGAUAAUUGAAAUACCUCUCAAUUGACCCUACAAGAAUGCUUCAACUUGUGAUGUCAAAUCAAUUAUAGGUAAUAAAGACCGUGAAGUAAUAUCAAUAUAUGAUUAACUUACAUAGUUACAUAAAUCUAACAGAAAAAAAAACAAGAAGAAAAGUCCACAACGAGGCACUAACUAAUUUUGUAAAUGAUACUCUCUUCGUCCUCUAAAUAACUUCAUAUCUGUCCCCAAGGGGACACCAAGCGGUGCGAAUAGUGAAUAAAAAAUAAAAUAAAAAAUAAUUAUGUGAAUAGUGAGGUCUCGGGUUCAAACUCCACUGCCCCCCUCCCCAACACCCCCAUGUAAAAAAAUAAAAAAUAAUAAUAACUUCAUAUCUUUUUUUUAGGUUGUCUCCCAAAUAAUUUACUAGUACUUUAUUUUAGGACACUAUCCCAACUUUUCAUAAUACUUCAUUUAUUCUUUUUUUUUUCACCACUCUCAAUACUAAUUACAACACCUUUUCAUCUUUUAUUAUUAUUAUUAUUAUUAUUAUUAUUAUUAUUAUUAUUAUUAUUAUUAUUAUUAUUAUUAUUAUUAUUAUUAUGCACUCAAUAAUUUUAUCUUAAAAUCAAUGGGCCCCCUCAAAAGAUUAUUUGGAGGAUGGAGGGAGCAUAAUGCCAUGUUAUAUGACACCACAAAUAUCAUCAAUUAUUAAAUUCAAACCAUAAUUAAUGCAUCACGAAUAAUUGAGUUGCCAUUCAACGAAAUGGGGCUAAAGCCCAAAGCCAAAGAAAAGUCGAGGUAGAGAACCUUCCAUCCCACACUAUAAAAUAGCACCUCACACUCUCCAAUUUUCCCAUCACACUUAGCUAAUCUCAUUCAUAUAUAUCAAUCACUAAUCAAUCUUCACUUCUCCUCCAUUACUCCAAUUUUUUAAAAAAGAGAAUCAUGGGUGCGAUCACUUAUGAUGUAGAGACCCCUUCCUCCAUCCCGGCCGGGAAGCUCUUCAAGGCCAUCGUGCUCGAGCCGACACCCUCAUCCCCAAGAUCUUGCCUCAGGCCAUCAAGAACGUCGAGAUCUUGGAAGGAGACGGCGGCGCGGCACCGUAAGAUCGUUCAUUUUGGCGAAGGGAGUCAGUAUAAGAGCGUCAAGCACCGUGUCGAGGCCAUCGACAAGGAAACUUGACAUACACGUACACCAUCAUUGAAGGUGAUGCUCUCUCAGAUUUAUUGAAUCCGUCACUUAUCAUAUCAAGAUCGUCCCAACAGAAGAUGGAGGAAGCAUCUGCAAGAACAGGAGCAUUUACAACACCAAGGGCGAUGCUGUGAUUGAUGAGGAGAAGAUCAAGGAGGGGAAAGACAAGGCCCAACAUAUGUUCAAGGCUAUCGAGGCUUACCUCAUCGCCAACCCCGACUGCUGAAAGAGACGAGGCUUCUAUAUCGAUGAUGUCAUUUUUAUAUACGUGGUAUAUAUAUACCUGUGAUGCUAGAGAAUUGGUGUGCGAGAUAUUAUAAAUAGGCUGAAUUGCCUAGCUAGAGCGAUAUCAAUAUUGAUUUACUUUGUGUGGUUUUUGAAUUUGUGUUGAGUGAAUAUUAUUGUGAUGAUUUGUGUUGCACUAAAUAAAGAAGCAUAAUUAAUAUUGCAUGUUUGGUGG
rnacentral:lncRNA from 1 species